GAAAUGCGAUAAGUAAUGUGAAUUGCAGAAUUCAGUGAAUCAUCGAAUCUUUGAACGCACAUUGUGCCCGCCAGUAUUCUGGCGGGCAUGCCUGUUCGAGCGUCAUUUCAACCAUCAAGCCCCCGGGCUUGUGUUGGGGACCUGCGGCUGCCGCAGGCCCCGAAAACCAGUGGCGGGCUCGCUGUCACACCGGGCGUAGUAGAUUUUUCGUCUCGCCCAGGGCGUGCUGCGGGUUCCGGCCGUUAAAAAGCCUCUCUUUUAACCCAAGGUUGACCUCGGAUCAGGUAGGAAGACCCGCUGAACUUAAGA
rnacentral:misc_RNA from 1 species